GCAACAGAUUCUUUUGAAACUGUGAUGCACAAGGGAUAAAGAAUGGAUCUGAAAGGAGAAAAUGAAGUGCUUCUAGAAUGGCAUGCUUCAGGUGACCAAGAGCAAGCAGACUUGACAGCUGAUAAGUUUGGAUGCUGCUAGCAUCUUCCUGAUUCGCCUAAUUCUGCCUGGUAAUUGCUGCAAAUGUGGCAUGUUGCAUCCCACACAUUUCUGAGACAUCUAUUACUUUGGAAAAUGCUGUCAGUUCUGGAAGCUGGAAAGUCCAAGAAGAAGGUGCCAGUAGACCUGGUUUCUGGUGAAGGUCUGACACCCACUGUGUCCUCACUAGUUCUAUUAUAUCAGAACUCUCCCUGACCUCUUUUAAUCUUAAUCACUUCCUAAAGGCCCUAUAUCCAAUACAGUCAUGGGGGAGGAUUUGAGGGCUUGAAAAUACGUGUUGGGGGAACACAAUACAAUCCACAGCACCAUGUUUGACAUGUACAUUCUCAGAUUUUCUGGCAUUAAUAGAUAGUUCCUUUCCCAUAAACAGGAUCCUACAAGUGAAUCCAACGUGCUGUCUCUGUGAGACGCAACCCCCUGGCUUCAUCAGUAGGUGCACCCAGGGUCAUUCCCUGGAGUGACGACACAUACCCAAGGCCAAUGAUUAUGUAGCUGGAAAAGAAACUGAAGUUCAUUAAACAAACUAAUUGAAUUUAUGUUUCAAACU